UACGUAGGGUGCGAGCGUUAAUCGGAAUUACUGGGCGUAAAGUGUGCGCAGGCGGCUCUGCAAGUCGAGUGUGAAAUCCCCGAGCUUAACUUGGGAAUUGCGCUCGAAACUAUGGAGCUGGAGUGUGGCAGAGGAAGGUGGAAUUCCACGUGUAGCGGUGAAAUGCGUAGAUAUUCGGAAGAACACCAGUGGCGAAGGCGGCUCACUGGACCGGUAUUGACGCUGAGGUGCGAAAGCGUGGGGAGCAAACAGG
rnacentral:rRNA from 1 species